rnacentral:tRNA from 1 species
GACGGUUUGGCCGAGUGGUCUAAGGCGCCAGAUUUAGGCUUUGCUCCGAAAGGCGUGGGUUCAAAUCCCACAGCCGUCA